GCUAUAAUUAAUAAGAAAAACAAAAAUUUAUUCAAUUUCUAUAUUAAGGUAUAUACGAUUACUAACAAUUACAACUUCAUGCCAUUGAGUGUCGGACAAAUCCAAACUGAAAUCUGCUUUAUAGCAUUUUGCUUAGCUUUUUUGGGUUAUUGUGGCAAACUUGUAACCUAAAACAUAAGAGCGAUAACGAUUUGAUGCAAUCUUUGCCUUCCUCCAACUUAUAAAUAGCAGUCUUAUCCGAAUCCCUACCACUAAAUACUGGCAACGAUAACAAGGAUUUAGGCUCGCUACAAUACUUGUCCUUCUUUCAGACAUCACACUUAGCAAUAUACAUUAUUUCCUAACUAAAAACUAUUUACUAAAUGCAGAUCGUUUAUAAAAUAGGCUACUGGAAAAUACAAUCCUGUUUAAUCCUUGCACUUUAGCGAAACAACUUCGGGUUUUAUCGAAAGCUUGCUUUUGCUUCUAGAGAUUCUUCUUAAUAUCAACAGAUCUCAACUUAACCCAGAAAUUUUAACUUCCUCUGUUUCACAUUCCAACAAUUACUUUAAUAAAGUUGCUUAAAAACAUACUUAAUUACAAUUUAGGACAUAAGCCCAAUGGAGGUUAAGGGACUCGAACCCUUGACCCUCGGCUUGCAAAGCCGAUGCUCUAGCCAACUG
rnacentral:misc_RNA from 1 species